AGUGAACGCUGGCGGCAGGCCUAAUACAUGCGAGUCGAACGGCCGCACAGGGAGAUUGUGCCCUUAAGGGUGGCGAGGGACGGACGGGUAAGGCGUAAAUCAGAUGCCUCUAUGUCUGGGAGGAUAUCGGAGGACAACGUCCAAUACCACCGAAUACAACCUACGGCUGAAAUCAGGGGAUCAUGGGGAUUUUGGCGAUACAAUGAGCCGAUUCCGGUUUAGCUAGUUGGCGAGGUAAGGGCCCACCAAGCCGACGAUCCGCAGCUGGUCUGAGAGGAUGAUCAGCCACACUGGAACUGAGACACGGUCCAGACUCCUACGGGCGGCAGCAGUAGGGAAUAUUAGGCAAUGGGCGCAAGCAUGACCGAGCCAUGCCGCGUGAGUGAAGAAGGCCUUCGGAUUGUAAAGCUGUUUUAUUAGGAAAGAAGAACGGUGUGAUAAUCCCUUCCUGUCCUGACGGUACCCAAACAAGAAGCACCGGCUAACUCCGUG
rnacentral:rRNA from 1 species